UCCACAUGGUCCGCUGGCAGGCCGGACAGAGACACGUGGUCACCGGCUGGCGGCACGCAGAGAACACCGACCUGGGAUCAGACUGUAACCACCAGCUCCAUUAGUGAAAGCGAGGAAGGGAGUAGAAAUCUGAUCCAAGCUGAUGAAGACCUACAGCAGCACCAAACCUCAUGCUCCACUGACAGAUCAUAUGAUGAUCUUUGGAUGGUUGAUUACAUUUACAUAUUCAGCACAGCAGCCAAGUGUUUUCCUCUCUUCCCCUACUGUAGUACCCAUUACACUACCCCGUUACCAAUUGUGCAGUGAUGCUGAAGUCUUUCCACCACAAAGUAAAUCAUUUCUGCUGAAGUUGGAGUGUUUGUCUUUUAGAGAUGAAUGUGAUCAGAGGCUGAUCAAUAGCUUUUUAAACCUCUGGUUGUAUAAAAACAAAAGUUCCAUUAAAAAAUACUGAAGAUCAAGUUCACAAAAACCUUAAUGUCAUGGUUAUUCUCUCUGGUUACUUUGGAAACAGCUAAUCUUGCUAAAGAAAAACAAAAUCUGCUCCCAGCACAUCCAAAACUCAGUCGUUAACACGUUUUAUCUCACUUGUUUAAUCCACAGCUUGUUGUUUUUGCUCUUUGGUUUUUGUAUGGAUUUAACAAACAAAAUGUUAAGAGUUACUAGUAGGUGGAUUUCUUUCAUUCAAACGGCUCCUCCGUUUCCAGUAUAAGCUAAGCAAUGCAAUGCUAAGCUAAGCAUGAAAAGUGUCGAUUUCCUGUUUAACUUUAUACAAGACAGUGAAUAAAUAUAUUUCCCAAAAUGUUGAACUCUUCCAAGCGGUACUCCAGCGAUGUAGUUCACUCCCAUUAAGUCAGAAUUAUUUUUGCUGUCUGAUGCAUAAAACUUCAGGCUCUGCUUAUCUUCAAAUGGGAAUCAUCUCUCUGACACUGCCAGUCAUCUGCAUCUUUGCAUGUCAUAUAUUGUCUCAAAUGGAUAUGCAAUGCUCAGUGAGUAGGCUAGUGCCCAGAAGACGGAAAGAGAGUGUAGCCUAUGUGUUGAUUUAGCCUUGCGAGCUAACUGUCAGCAAUGAAUGAAAUUAAACAAAAAGUUUUGUUGGGUUGGGUCAGUUCUGGUCUCAGCUUUAGUCCUGAGCAACACUGCAAAGAGAGAUCCUGAGUCUGUAGUGCUUAACAUGGGUCAAGAUUUAAAUGUUGUGUGUGUGUUUGUUUUAAACUAUGUAAAAAUACUGAUUAAUAUUUUUGUUCAACAUGGUUUCCCCACAUAGAAAUUUGGGGGAAAAAAGGGGCAAACUGGAGGCUGGAAGCACAUCUACGGUUACGAUCCACCAUGCUGUUUACGCUAGGUUGAGCGGUGAAAGAGCCGUCUCUAGAUCCUUCGUUUGCCUUAGUGCAACUCAAAACCAUCUUUUGUUAGUCUCCCACUUCCUGCAGAGAAGAGGAAUGCCCUCCCACACGGUGCAGAGAACAUCUGUUAGUGAGAAAUGAAAACCUGAGAGAGACAGAGGA